UACGGAGGUGGCAGGCGUUACUCGGAUUGAUUGGGUGUAAAGGGCGUGUAGGCGGUGAAUUAAGUCGAAUGUGAAAUCCCUUGGCUUAACCAAGGAACUGCAUUCGAUACUGAUUUGCUUGAGUGACAGAGAGGAAAGCGGAAUUCCCGGUGUAACAGUGAAAUGUGUAGAUAUCGGGAGGAACACCAGUGGCGAAGGCGGCUUUCUGGCUGUCCACUGACGCUGAAACGCGAGAGCUAGGGGAG
rnacentral:rRNA from 1 species